AAUUGUUCCAUUAAUUCCCUAAUAUUAGGGUGGUAUUUAAUUACCACCAUAAAACUCAGGAUGACUUAGCAUGCUCGCCCUAUAUAAACGCUAGCAAAUCGAUUUACUCAUCAACACAUUUGGUAGAUCAGAUCAAACGGUGAAAAGAAGAGAGUGCCAGUACAUAGCUAGCAUUGUAUUUUGUGAUGGCGUUUAGUAAGAGCAAUGCAAGCUUUGCAUGCUGGGCGGCCCUGAUGUUGGUGAUGGCCACUCUGAUGUUGUCAUGUGAUGCUGAUCCAAAAGAAUCAUGUGAUUUGAUUGAAGAUGGAUGCAACGAAGCCCAGUGUAGGGACUAUUGUAGGAUCAUUGGUCACACCAAGGGAUCUUGCCGGGAAGCCGAGUAUUGUUGUUGUUUGAUUGCCGCAAAGCCCAAGGUGGACGUUGGGCAUCAUCGUGAUUGAGCUUCUAUGAACAUUACUUUAUUAGAUAUAUAGCAAAAGAGCCCUUGUAACGGGUACAAAAUAAAUAGAUUUUAUGCAGAAACAUUUAGCAACUCGAGGACAGCCCCUCCUUUU